UGUCAUAUGGUCUGAAAAAUUCCUUUGCUCCCGGCUGUGUCUCCUCCCAACUUCCCAUGGAGCUCCAGCUCUCUCACGAGUGUGGAAGUACAAAAAGCUGAAAAGACCUUGGCUCUGUGUCUAAAAAGAGAAGUGUGAUCCACGUACACCUGCUUUCUUCAUUUACAGUUAUCAUUCCUGAAAGAGAAUGAAUCUUGAGUUUGGAGGACCAAGUUGAACAAACACUCCAGAAACGAGGUAUGGUCAAUCAAAAAUUAAAUUGAAAA